rfam:Dipodomys ordii contig_35757, whole genome shotgun sequence.
GGGAAGGUGGCUCAGUGGUAGAGUGCUUGCCUUGCAUGCAUGAGGCCCUAGGUUCAAUUCCUCAGUACCA